ensembl:lncRNA
UGCAUCCAUAAUUCCUUGCAAGUGGUUUACAGGACCAGCGGAAGAUUCUUGUUUCUGGCCACCAGGGAGAGUCAAUAUCAAUAAGGAUGGAGUUACUCCAGAUGCAAACUGGUCACAGUUCAGAGUUCGCAUCUUGGGGAAAGCUGAAAACUAUGAAAAUCCCAGGGUGAAACUGCAGAGGUCUGAAGCAACCUCUGAUCUGCAGACUGAGUCAGAUUCUGGAAGCAGAUUGGGAAAAGGGAAGCGGAAAAGGAGGCCAGUGAUCCAGGGCAGCACGGUGGCACGGUGGUUAGCACUGUUGCCGCACAGCAAGAAGGUCCUGAGUUCAAUUCCACCAUCAGGCC